UUAAAUUGAAGAGUUUGAUCAUGGCUCAGAUUGAACGCUGGCGGCAGGCCUAACACAUGCAAGUCGAACGGUAACAGGAAGCAGCUUGCUGCUUCGCUGACGAGUGGCGGACGGGUGAGUAAUGUCUGGGAAACUGCCUGAUGGAGGGGGAUAACUACUGGAAACGGUAGCUAAUACCGCAUAACGUCGCAAGACCAAAGAGGGGGACCUUCGGGCCUCUUGCCAUCGGAUGUGCCCAGAUGGGAUUAGCUAGUAGGUGGGGUAACGGCUCACCUAGGCGACGAUCCCUAGCUGGUCUGAGAGGAUGACCAGCCACACUGGAACUGAGACACGGUCCAGACUCCUACGGGAGGCAGCAGUGGGGAAUAUUGCACAAUGGGCGCAAGCCUGAUGCAGCCAUGCCGCGUGUAUGAAGAAGG
rnacentral:rRNA from 1 species